GAUAGGUCUCUUCAUUUGACAGGGUGAUAGGCUUGUCCAUACACUUUUUAAACCACAUUUUCGAGUAAAAUCCUCAGUGCAUAUGGCAGCACACUUUUCAUGCUGAUCCUAUUAAUUUCAUUCUCCCCUUGCUUAACCGCCUUCUCAGUAACCUCUUGCUUCUGCUGAGCAAUUUUCAUCAUGGAUUCAAAAUCUCCAAACGUGGCUUGAAGGGAACGCACCUUCUGCACCACGGCGUCCAGCGUGGCGGCCAGCUCUUGCCGCUGCCGCCCCGAGGCCUCCCUCUCGCGGGCGCUCCGCCCGACCUCCUCCCGCAGCUGCCGCACGUACCAGCCGGCGGGCAGCGCGGCGCCCAGCACCACUGCGGCGCCCAGCAGCAGCGCCCAGCCGCGCCGCGGGCCGGCUGCGGAGCGGCCCCCUCCGCCCCCCGCGCCGGACCGGCCGCCCCGGCCGUGAGACGCCGCCGCCGCCGGCUUCUUGGCCGCCGCCUCCUCGGAGCCGCCCGGCUGCGCGCCCCGCUCGUUGGCGGCGGCGACGGCGGGCGGGCUGCCCCCCUUGGGGCCCCGGUGCUUGGCGGCCGACAUGGCGGGACGGGGCCGACCCCGUGCGCCGAGCGGGAGCAGCGGGAGCGAAGGAGGCAGGAGGGGAGCGAAGGCGGGAGGAAAGGAAGGAGGGAGGGAAGGAGGGAGGCCGCCGCCGUGCGAUGGGGCGGGGGUGCCGGCCCGGGCAGCGCCCGCUCCCCGCCCCGCCCCGCGAAACCGCCACGCACGCGGGGCCGGGCCUGGGCCCCCGCGGGGCAGCCGGGCGCCACGCACACGGGGACCGAGCCGUCUCGGGGGGCGCGGCCAUCCCCAGCCCGGAGGGGAACGCGGCGCUGCCCCGCGCGGCACCGAAGCUCUGUGCGGGCUACAGGACAGACCGUGCUGCAGGAAAACGUACGUGUGUCAGAAACACGCCUCGAGUCCAUCAGCAUCGUUCCUCUUUUUAAUUUCUUUUGCACUGGUGGCACCAGUUAGCAUAGCGACUGUGGGCUGAUAGGCACCCAACUGCUCUGCCAGCUCACUGAGAAGUGUAAGGACGAUCUGGGCGUAGACCUUUCAGUGUACCCCCUUAGUCAGUGAUGGAUUACAGGGACGGGGGGUUGGUAACCUUUCAGGUAAAGAUGCCCCUUUACAUAAAAGUGUCCACACAUCAGGUUGGAUAUGAGGAACAAUUUCUUCUCAGGAAGAGAAGAGUGGUCUUUCCAACUUUAAUGAUUCAAUGAUCACACACAGUGCGAGGCAAAGGUGGUCAGUCACAGCAUUUGACAUUUCUAACUGUGGGUUAUAGUUCUGGAAGUGAGUCCUAACUCUGACAAAAAGCAACUAAGGUAUGCUUUCUUUUAUCCUCAACAUCCAGGCAGCAGCAAUACAGACUUCUUUGUAUAUGCCGAUACAAUACAUCACACUUGCAGUUGCUGGGCUUUCUUCAGUUCUUGAACCCCCUGUGCUGAACAGUACUUCAUUGUUCCCUUUGACAGUGGAAGCAAGGUUUAUUCUGUCCACAGAAUCACAGAAUCAUCUGAGUUGGAAGGGAUCCCCUUCCGAGACCAUCUAGUCCAACUCCCCUGCAAUGAACCAGGACACCUACAGGUAGAUCAAGGUGCUCAGAGCCCCUCCACUCUGACCUUGGAUGUCUCCUGGGAUGGGGAUCCACCACCUCUCUGGGCAACCUGUGCCAGUGCCUCACCACUCCUACCAAAAAAGCUUUUCUUCUGUUUAGUGAGGUGCCUGAAGAGUCAGAGCAAAAUGCAUAUUGGAAGAUGCUAUUCCAGAGCUGGUAAAGGACAGCGUGCAGCAGGUGGUGACUGCAUAAAGCUGACAGCUUCCAAUCCUUGGAGCCAGGAUUCUUGACUCAGGACAGUGUUGUGACAAAGCAUCCGAUGUGACAGAGUCUGUAAGUGGAGAAUCCUAAAUAGCAAAACAUGCAAAAAUGUCUUCUCUGCUGCUUUGUCCCAACGCUUACCUUUACUUCAGACAGAAAUGAGGCCACUCAGUUUUUAAUGCCUCCUUGUUUCUCCCCAGUAGACCUGCUGAGUAACUAGGUCAUCAGGAUGGACUCUCAAGGAUUCUUUUUUAUUUUAUCGUUUAAUCGCCAGAUGGUGAACAAAGUAAGCUGAUUCUUUAUUGCUUCUUUCUUUCACAGCCAUUAGGGAUGAGGCUUACACGGUAGACUUGUAUCAAUGCUUCUGCCUUGAGUUUUCUCAGGAGGUUCAUAAGGAGUAACAUGCAAAGCAGUCAUGGAGUUAGACCUGGGCUAAGAGCAAACAACCGUCUAUCAGUAGUGCUGGUGUUGAUUUCAAAAGGAUUUGCUGGUUUGUUUUUUAUGAAUAAUGCAACGAAAAGCUCUUGGCAGUUGGUUACUCCCUCGGGCCUUGCUCUUCUUCCCUGCAUUUUAAUAUGUAUCUUUCUAUGUAAAGCUAACUUUGAAAAAGUCUGUGUUCAUGUCUCUAUCUGUUAUUAUUUGCCUGUAUUAAAGAAAUGUGUGGGAUGAAAGUGAAGAGCAAUUCUGUGCAAGCCAUACAGUCAAUCAAUGAAAAUAACCCUUCAAAGCUCUACUCAGGCUUCUGGGCAGAGCUCUUUCAUACGUAGUUUCGGUGUCUCGAAGACAUAACAAAGUGUUAGAAGCAAGAAGUUCUUUCCAGUCCUGUGCCUAAGCUGCUGAGCUACUAAUGCAAACUUGAUUUAUUUCCUUCUUGUGCUUUUGUGUUAUGCUGAAAUGCAUUUGUUUGCCAAGAAUCAUUCCAUGAGUGGAAGUUCAUUAUGCAUACAUGCAAGCUGUAACUCCUUGCAAGAGAAAAGCUUGGGGUGCUAAUUUAUCUAUUCCUCUAUUUGAUUACAACAAGAAAUUCAACCAAGUCUCAUCUUGGAAGACAUUUUCUUGUUAGUUUGUUUUCACUUUGAUUUCCAGUACAUUCCUUUUUUUUUCUUUAAUCAAGUUUGGAUUGAGUAUUCCUCAGAUACAGUGAACCCUAAGGCAGGAUCACACAACCCCAGAUUUCAGACAUCUGAUCUUUAUGCCAAGGAUUUGUAUGAACCAAAGUGUUCAGCUUGUACGCAGUGUUCCACUUAGUAACUACUAGCAUGGGUCAUGAAAGGAAAAAGUAACAGUUAAAU
rnacentral:lncRNA from 1 species